GGUAGCGUGGCGAGCGGUCUAAGGCGCUGGUUUAAGGCACCAGUCUCUCCGGAGGCGGGUUCGAACCCACGCUGCCA
rnacentral:tRNA from 1 species